ACAGAUGAGAAGCUGAGGCCCAGAGCCAGGAAGUGAUUAUACCGUAGCCAUCCCAGCCGCUUCAAGUCCACGCUUGAGCCCAGAUCUUCCAGCCCUGUCUCCACCUCCCAGAGCAAUGUUUUCCCAAACCAGGGCUCAGCGGAGGAAUUUGCCAGAGUGAGGGAGCUGAGAAAGCCUCCAGCAGGAGUGCAGGGAGGAGAGGCAACCUCAGAGCUCCAGGCCCUCCAACCAUGAUUUCAUCCACAGUAGCUUAGCUUCUUAUGUGUGCUGGGCAAACGAAUGCCUUCUGCAGCUUAAAAGAAGAGGCCAAAAAUCAGUGACCCCUCCCAUCAUUUUACCAAUGGGGAAACUGAGUCCCAGAGAGGAUUGCAAAGCCAUUCAGCUGUCAGGUUGGCAGAGCUGAUACCCAAAGUCAGGUUGACUAAACUCCCUGAAGUACCAGCAGCAAGCAACGUGAAUUCAACAGCUGCCAUGGGCCUCCCUCAUGCUGAGGGAUCCAGGGAUCUGAGGAUGUUCAGAGGAGCCAGACACAUUCUCUACUUUCAAAAGAUUCUCAAUCCAGAAGUGGAGAUGGCCACGUAAACAAAAGAGGAACUAAUGAUGGUCCUACUGGAUGGAGUUGCUACGAGCUCUGAUAUGAGAAAAUGCACGCCAAGCUCCUCGUAUCUGGCACACAGCACUCAACAAACAGGAGCUGUUAUUUUUUCUGGGCAAUGGAAAAAAAGAUGGUCAGGGAAGGCUGCACAAAGGAGGUAGCACUUGGAGUAAGUUUGGAGGAAUGAGUUUCCCCAGGUGGGAGGAAGUCGUUCCAGGUAAAGUAUUCUCUUUGCACAGGCAUGAAGGGAUAAAGCAGGGGGUGGAGGAGGCUAUAGCUGGCACACUGGGAAACGGGAAGCGAAGUGUGGGGGGCAAUGGAACAGGCAGAAGGUUAGGGCUGGAGUGUGCCAGGUGUGCCGGGCCUUGGAUAAUGAGUGCUAAGGGUGCUCUGCAUCUGGCCCCAGCUCCUCAGCUUGCUUCACUUCCACAGGCUUAGUUUGUCUGAAAGACCACAGGAGAGGGCGGGUCACAGGGUAGACAUGCUUUGAUGGGGAACAAUGAGGAAGAAAAAGGUUAUUGCACAGAAUGGACCUGGGGGGAGGGCCCUGGCCCCCAGAGGCUGUGGGUGGACAGUCUCCAGCAGGAGGGGGUGCAGCUUCCAAAGCGGGGUAGAUGGGGCGCCUGGCUGGCUCAGUCAGUAGAGCAUGCAAUUCUUGAUGUCGGGGUUGUGAGUUCGAGUCCCACGUUGGGCGUAGAGCCUACUUAAAAGAAGAGGGAGUGGGGUGGACAAUGUGACUUAUAUUACCUACCUUUCAGUUCUGCUGAAGGCAGUGUGCCCAUUCUGCCAAGGUCAGUGUGUUCAGCUGCAACAGAGCAUCCAGAGCCCCUGGGAGAGAGCAGGUCUCAGCCCCAUUAUGCCAGAUGUGCAGCGGUUUUCAUAAAGGGGCGCCAGAAAGGAGCCGUCUGAAUCCCAGGCUUGCUGGGGCAGGCUGGCCUUGAGCAGAGGGAGCUUCUAGUGGUCAUCUGAGACACAGGACUGAGACAAACUAAUUAUGUAAAUGAAGAAUUGCCCGUAUGAGGCAGAAAAAUCCAGGACCUAUUGAGUGAUACAGAC